GGAUCAUUAAGGCCACGCCCAUAUUCUGAGUUCCAGUGGGACCCUGAUUACACCUCCUCUGGCUCAGUCACACAGCUGCCUGGUAUGUGACUGGAGGUAUUUUGCAGUCAUUGCUGGGAUUUCACUGAUGUGGCCCCAACACUGCCUCCCUCCCCACCCCGCGAUGUCAGAAGAAACUCGACAGUAAAUUGGCCAUGGCCAAGAAAAAGUUAAAAGAAUAUCAGCAGAGGAACAGCCCUGGUGUUCCAGCAGGAGUGAUGAGGAAAACGAAAAAAAUCACAGUAGCUCUGAGACAACCACUUCUGGUGGUUGCCACUCACCUGGGGAUAUUCAGGACACUCUGAAGGUGCUGGUGUCCAAAAUUAACCAUUCCAAAGGGGGAGUGCUCUCCCAUUGGACAAAUGGAAGAGCCAGUACCAAGAACUAGCAGUAGCCCUGGACUCAAGCUCCACAACAGUCAGUCAACUCAAUGAAAACACUGAGUCAUUGCUAAGAGUCCAGUGGGGUCCCCUGAUUCCAUGCUGCCAAUCCUGGGCUUCAGUUUCCCUUUGGGGCCCUGAAGAAAGGGUCUGGGGGCCUCUGGUGCCAAGGGUAAAUGGGGAGCUGGGGUGCCCAGGCCUCACCUGGAGGGACCCCAGAGCAUGGAGCAUGCAGCAUGGCUCUUCUGUUGCUGCCCUCUUUGCUGCAGGCCUGGGAUCCCCAGAUCGAAACUUCUCACUCUUUACCAUCCAGUCCUCCAGCCACUGUGAAGCAGUCCUUGAGUGGCAGUUACAGCAGUCCAUAAAGGCUGGGACACAGCUGGAAGCACAUGUGACACAGCUAGAGGGAGAUGAAUAUGCUCAAAAUCUAAAAGGAGAGAGGGCCCGGUGGCAGCAGAGGGUGUGGAAAAUGUCAGAGGAGGUUCACACAGAAGAGAGCUGAAGGAGAAGAAGCAUGACACGCAUUGGCUACAGGAGCUGGAGAGGAGCUUGGCUGAACUCAAAAACUAGAUGGCUGAACCCCUGCCCCCGGAGCCCCCAGUAGGGCCCUCUGAGGUGGAACAGCAGCUACAAGCUGAGGCCGAGCCCCUGAGGAAGGAGCUGGAGAGUCUGGCAGGACAGCUCCAAGCUCAGGUGCAAAACAAUCAAGGCUUGAGUCACCUGAACUGGGAGCAGGAGAGGCUGCUGGAGCUGGGGUGGAAGGCCAAGCUCUGGGAGGAGCAGGCAGAGACGCGCAUGCAGACCCUGCAGAACCGUGCCACCAUCAACCGCGCGCUCUCUCAGAACCACGAGUUCAACUAGCAGCUGGCUGGGCCACAGAGCGGCUUAGAGGAGCUGAACAACGAGAAUAAGAGUGCACUGCAGUUGCAGCAGCAAGUAAAGGAGCUGCAGGAGAAGCUGGGCAAGCUGAAGGAGACCGUGGAGCUGAAAAGCCAAGAGGCUCAGAGUCUGCAGCAGCAGGGAGACCAGUCCCUGGGUCACCUGCAGCAGUACGUGCCUGCCUAUCAGCAGCUGACCUCUGAGAAGGAGGCGCAGCACAGGCAGUUACUGCUGCAGACCCAGCUCAUAGACCAGCUGCAGCAGCAGGAAGCUAGUGGCAAAGCGGUGGCCGAGAUGGCCCACCAAAAGUUUCAGGAGACCCAGGGGAGGCUGGAAGGUACCAGCCAGCAGAACCAGCAGCUACAGGCCCAGUUGAGCCUCAUGGCACUCCCUAGGCAAGGUACAGGAGAUCUCUCAGAGGAGGAAGAGAGAGAUCUGGACAACGAGGAAGAGGAGGCACCUUGGCCCAUGCCGAGCAUCCCGGAGGACCUGGAGAGCAGGGAGGUAAUGGUGGCAUUUUUCAACUCCGCUGGAGCCAGUGCCCAGGAGGAGCAGGCAUGGCUAUGUGGGCAGCUGAAGGAGCAAAGGGUGUGAUGCCAGCGCCUGACUCACCCGCGUGGCCUUGGCCCAGAAGGAGCCAGAGGUAGUGGAACCAGCCUUAGGGACUGGGGGUGAGUCUGUGUGUGGGUAGACCCAUCGGGCCCUGCAGGGGCCCAUGGAGAAGUUGCAGAGUGGCUUUAUGGACCUCCUGAAGGAGAAGGUGGACCUGAAGGACCGGGAGGAGAAACUAGAGCUUCGAUCCAUCCACUUCUCAGGAGAGACAGACACCAUCGGAAAGUACAUCACAACGUAUGAGAGCCAGAGGGCAGCGCCAAAGACGCGGCACCAGGAGGAGGACAUCAUCAGGCUGGCCCAGGACAAAGAGGAGAUGAAGGUGAAACUGCUGGAGCUGCAGAAGCUGGUGUUGCGGCUUGCAGGUGAUCACAACGAGGGGCAUGGCAAAUUCCUGGCCACUGCCCAGAACCCUGCUCAUGAUCCUGCUUCAAGGGCCCCAGUCCCUCAGGAGCUUGGGGCUGCUGACAAGCAGGGUGAUUUUUGUGAGGUGAGCCGACAGCCUGGAGCCUGCACCAGGAGAGGCCGGGGGCGGGGGCGUUGUCCCCAUGACAACCCCACUGCACAGCAGCUCAUGCAGCUGCUUCCUGAGAUGCAGGACCCCCAGGAAUAUCCAGGCUUGGGCAGCAGCCCCUGCAUGCCAUUCUUCUACCAGGCUGCCAAGAACAGGGAGCUAAACAUCACCAUCAUCUAAGAGCUGGUCAAGAAAUUAAAAAAGAAGAAAAAAAGGUUACAGGGUUAAUCUCCUACACAAUUCGUUUACUUCAUUUGAAUGUUAGAGUCACUCAUGAUUAUUUGUGUUUCUAAUUUGUAGUUUACAUUUAUUCGUAAAAAGUUAAAGGAGAAUGGAUCUUUCCCUGAUGUUCA